UCAUCCACACGUAUUUCCACAGAAGUUUUUAAACAACAAUUUUCAGUUUUUAAACUCAAAUACCAAACGGCCUCUAAUUUUUCGACAAUUGGACUCGUAAUGAAUUUUGCAAAAAAUCAAAAUUGAGUUUGGAAAUUCACUCUUGAAGACUUAAUUCUUGAAUUUGUUAAAUUCAAUUUAGAGAUCAUUUUGUAUUAAUGGGCAUGUUCAGCAUUUUGUUUGCUUUUGGGCUUUCUUUUCUUUGACUUUGAAAUUUUUUGGAGUUUUGGAAGAACCAUUGGGUCCAUAAUAAGUCCAAUUCUUGAAAUGAAUUUUUGGGCUUCUUUCUUUUGUUUGGUGGGCAGGGUAUUGGCCUGGGUUAUUAGAUUAAAGUAGUAUUCUACUAUUCUUUCAGCUCUCUUCGAAUUUAUGUAUUUUUCCUGAUAUUUUCAUUUAUUGGCUGUUGUUGUGAUUAGUUCAAAAUUUUAAUUGCAAUUUUCUUCCUUUCUUGGCUGUUGUUAUGAUUAGUUCUUGAUGUGUUGGAUUUUGAAUUAGUUGUAAUGAUUGGCAAGCUUUGGUGAUGGAAAUGGUCUUCAAUUCUUGUGCGUGGAUUCUUUGCACACAAUGUGUUUGUUGAAAGGAGUCAAUGAGUGCAACUUCUGGUUCUAUUGUGAAUUAGAUUAUCGUUGUUACUUGAAAAAUGCUUGGUGUGGUCUGGGAAAGUUGAAUUGGAGGUUGAAUGAAAAUUUUGUGUGGGGUGGGAAAUUUGAAUUGAUAAUGGCAUAAGUGACACCAAUGGGCUAAGCAAGCAAUGGCUAUGGCUAUGCCAAGGAUGCCUUUUGGAUAUCAUUUGUGACCUUGUUCAACGCUUGUGUUUGAAUGAGUAUGAGACUUGUAUUGUGCCUUUUGGAAUGAUUUGGACCCAAUGGACUUGACAUGUGCGAUAUUAGUGCAUCUUGGAACUUGUGAUUUUCAUUUUACGUAAGUAUUUGUGGAAAUGCCUCAAUGAAGUGGCUUUUUAGUUAUUUGGAGUGUUAAUUUGUUUGCUUACAGUUGUGGUUUGUUUUAAGCUUGGCAUUGAAGGUGUUUUUUAGCUGAGUGAAAAUGAAUGAUGACAUGUUUGUUUGACUUACCGCUUGAGACAUGAUUCAUGCAAUGGUGAAUCAAUGCCUUGUAUGUGACCAUGUUAUUGUGAGCACAUAUGUUGUUUUCAGCCUUCUCAAGAUAUACAUGUGCAUCAAACAUGUUAAACUUUGUAAACCAUGAACAUAUAUCAUGCACGAGAGGCGUUUGCUUGAGAUUUACAACCUUGCUGGGAUGAUGUUUUACCUUGGUACUCCUGUUGUAUUCUGGGCUCUUGUUUUAAACUCUUAUGUUGGUGGGCCAAAAUCAACCCACCAUUGAAUGGAAGAUACAAGAAGUGGACUCUAGUCAUUUCUUGGAUUCAAUUUUGAAGGAUGAUGGGCAUCCAACUAUGCAGAAGUAUAAAUCCCUUAUGAUCUUGAGCACUCUUGGGCAUUUUUGGGACACAAAGGAACACCUUGUACUUCCAGCAUUUGGGUGAAGUGAUCCUUAUGAUUGAAGUAUUGACUGUCAUUUAAAAAUAUCAUGAUUGGUGGGCUGUGCCUGAGGAUGGGCUAUGACAUUGGAGUCAACAAGAAAGCCAUUAAGUAAGCACUUGGAAAUCUGCCACCCUCGGCGAAAGGUGAUGGGGCACAGCUAACCUGGUUCUAUACCCAUUACUCACAACCAACUUCAACAUUGGGAGUGACUCAAUGUGUAAAAGCCUUAAUGCUUUUCAUGUUGGGGAGUGCACUUAUUUCGAGCAAGGGGAUAUUGUGCUCUUGUCGUACCUUCCCUACUUUGAAGACAUUGAUAGGAAUGGGGUGGAGUUCCAUAUGCCACUUUUCCACCAAAUUUUGCAGUACUUCCAUUGCACCUUCAAGAGCUCCGGAGGUUGUGAGAGUUGGUGCCUGUGUGAAGGUUUAUGACCUAUGGUUAUUCUGGCUUUCAAACUUUAAAAGUGAAGGGUCCUCUUGAGAAUGCCCUUCUGCAGGUUGCUAGAUGGUCCAUAACUAACCAAAAUAGCAAAGACCAAGAAGAGAUUGUCUAUUCAAGAAUUGAGGCACUUCAUUAACAACAUUAUUAUUGAAGUGAUAAGCUCAACCCCUUUUUU